rnacentral:rRNA from 1 species
GACGAACGCUGGCGGCGUGCAUAACACAUGCAAGUCGAACGGAAAGGCCCUGCUUUUGUGGGGUGCUCGAGUGGCGAACGGGUGAGUAACACGUGAGUAACCUGCCCUUGACUUUGGGAUAACUUCAGGAAACUGGGGCUAAUACCGGAUAGGAGCUCCUGCUGCAUGGUGGGGGUUGGAAAGUUUCGGCGGUUGGGGAUGGACUCGCGGCUUAUCAGCUUGUUGGUGGGGUAGUGGCUUACCAAGGCUUUGACGGGUAGCCGGCCUGAGAGGGUGACCGGCCACAUUGGGACUGAGAUACGGCCCAGACUCCUACGGGAGGCAGCAGUGGGGAAUAUUGCACAAUGGGCGGAAGCCUGAUGCAGCAACGCCGCGUGCGGGAUGACGGCCUUCGGGUUGAAAACCGCUUUCGCCUGUGACGAAGCGUGAGUGACGGUAAUGGGUAAAGAAGCACCGGCUAACUACGUG